AGCGAACGCUGGCGGCAGGCUUAACACAUGCCAGUCGAGCGGGCCCUUCGGGGUCAGCGGCAGACGGGUGAGUAACGCGUGGGAACGUGCCCUUCGGUUCGGAAUAACUCAGGGAAACUUGAGCUAAUACCGGAUACGCCCUUAUGGGGAAUGGUUUACUGCCGAAGGAUCGGCCCGCGUCUGAUUAGCUAGUUGGUGAGGUUAUGGCUCACCAAGGCGACGAUCAGUAGCUGGUCUGAGAGGAUGAUCAGCCACACUGGGACUGAGACACGGCCCAGACUCCUACGGGAGGCAGCAGUGGGGAAUAUUGGACAAUGGGGGCAACCCUGAUCCAGCCAUGCCGCGUGAGUGAUGACGGCCUUAGGGUUGUAAAGCUCUUUUCUCCGGGACGAUAAUGACGGUACCGGAGGAAUAAGCCCCGGCUAACUUCGUG
rnacentral:rRNA from 1 species